rnacentral:rRNA from 1 species
CCUACGGGUGGCUGCAGUGGGGAAUAUUGCACAAUGGGGGAAACCCUGAUGGAGCAACGCCGCGUUCGCGAUGAGGGCCUUCGGGUCGUAAAGCUCUGUCCUAAUGGAAGAAUACAGACGGUACCUUAGGAGGAACCCGCGGCGAAUUACGUGCUUGCAGCGGCGGUAAUACGUAGGGGGCUAGCGUUAUCCGGAAUUACUGGGCGUAUAGGGUGCGUAGGCGGCCCUUCAAGUCGGGGGUGAAAGGCUAAGGAUCGUUAGUAGUAAGCCUUUGAAACUGUCGGGCUGGAGGGCAGGUGAGGAGAAGGGAAUUACAAGACGAGUAGGGAGAUGCGUAGAUAGUGGGAGGAACACCGGUCGCGAAAGGAUCUCCGUGGACCGUAAAUUAAGCUGAGAAACGAAAGCGUGGGGAGCGAGCAGUAAAGGAUGCUGGGGGAGUC